GUGCCAGCAGCCGCGGUAAUACGAAGGGUGCGAGCGUUAUUCGGAAUCAUUGGGCGUAAAGGGUGUGUAGAUGGUAUGCUAAGUCCGUUGUUAAAUGCUCCAGCCUAACUGGAGACCUGCGAUGGAAACUGGCGUGCUAGAGGGUGGAAGAGAGAAGUGGAAUUCUCGGAGUAGCGGUAAAAUGCGUAGAUCUCGAGAGGAACACCAAUGGCGAAGGCAGCUUCUUGGUCCACACCUGACAUUGAAACACGAAAGCGUGGGGAGCAAACAGGAUUAGAUACCCUGGUAGUCC
rnacentral:rRNA from 1 species